UACGUAGGGGGCAAGCGUUUGUCCGGAUUUAUUGGGCGUAAAGAGCGUGUAGGCGGCCACGCAGGUCCGUUGUGAAAACUGGAGGCUCAACCUCCAGCUGUCGACGGAAACCGUGUGGCUAGAGUCCGGAAGAGGAGAGUGGAAUUCCUGGUGUAGCGGUGAAAUGCGCAGAUAUCAGGAAGAACACCAAUGGCGAAGGCAGCUCUCUGGGACGGUACUGACGCUGAGACGCGAAAGCGUGGGGAGCGAACAGG
rnacentral:rRNA from 1 species